UUUCAGAAAGAGAAUGACUAAAUGGAAAACAGCAAACACACUCUGUUACAGCAAGUCAAGGGAAAAUGAAUCCUAACCCAGAGCGUCAAUGGUAGAAAAUGGAAUCAUUUCACUGUUGGUGAUAGUGCUACAAGAUAAUAAAGGCCAACUAUUCUCACUUUGAAAUGAGGUGCUGGAUUAAUUAGGCAGAUCCUGCAUAGAAAAUAUCUGAAAUCAGGUUUUGCGGCCUUGAACACUCACUCACACUGAAUUCAUGAAAGGGUUCAGCUGAAGUGGCCAGGGGCUUUGGAGAUUGGAAGGGUUGUUCCUCUGGAGCGAGCUAUGCUAUGAGACACAUGAUUCCUAGAAAGGGGUAUCUUUUCCCAUCUUGUGAGUGUUCCUUCCCGGUCUAAGAGCUUUGCAAAGUGAUCUGCAUUCACUCUAGGCGCUUCCGGAGGCGAAGAACAGUUUUCAGAGAUGAAAAAGAAUUUCCACUUCAACCCUCCUCAGAAAAAAAGGAUGGGAGAAACAAACCUCCCACAUCUCUCCAUGCACUUAGCCUCAUCACUUCCACGAAGAAUGGACCUAUUCGAUGGAUUAGUUUGGAAGAGAGAUGGAGCAUGCUUCGGACAGUCAUUCCUCUCUCACUUGGAGCCAGCUUAUCUGCAGAAUGCACAGGAUCUUUAUCACUCCACAGGGUGAAAUCGGUGGGACACACUAUAUCUUCCUUAUAGCAAUAUUUAUGAGGAUAUUUUAUAAAGAUACAUUCAUAUUUUAUAUUGCUAUCUUUUAUAAAAAUAUACAACUCAACUGAAUUUAUGCCUGGAAGCUGAAUGAUACUAGACUGGAGAAUGGGGUAUGGAAACUCGAGGGCCCAAGAAAAGUACUGAGAGAAGUCUAUCUUACUCAAGGACCCACCAUACCCACAGCCUGCUUUUGAGGAAUGUUGAGUUGGGACCCAAAAUCUAUGUCCACUGCUAGCUGGAUAAUGAAUAGAAACCUUAUACUGCAUAAGGAUCAACAGGACUAGUUAGAUCUUGUGUCUUGCCCGGGUUGAAAAUAGCACAUUUAAAUAAAUUUAGUUGUAUGUCACUAAAAUAUCCAUCUCCAAGUCACGUAUGGUAUUCUAAAAUAUGUCUUGAUCGGUGGUAACUGGAAAGUGUCUCUUUCAUGAAAAUGAACUAAGAUUAUAGUUCCUCCAAAUAGCAAACACCAUCACUGUAAAGGAUAAAAUGAUAAGUGAGACAGGAUUGUAGUCUUCAAAGGCUGUACAAUCUGAUAUAUGCAGUUAAUAUACAUAAUUACAUCAUAAGGGAAAAUGUGUCUAUGACCUUAAUAAAGAUAAAACAAAACAAAACAAAAAACCCCAGCACUUUUGAAGUUAAGGUCAUCUCCUGUGGUGUCACUAUGAAAGGCUCAAUAGGGAAGCUGGUAUUUGAACUAAGCCUUAUAGGACAGAGAAGAUUUAAGUAGGAAGAGAUGUAAGAAGGAAUUGUGGGUGAAAGUACAAAGUGAACAAAAGAAUUUAAAAAGGAUAUAUUUAAGAAAUGGUGAGUAGGUCUAUGGAGCCACAGUGGCUUGCUUUUGCAUGUGUAUGUGUGUAACCUAACUAUGUGUGGGACGCCUAGGUGGCUCAGGGGUUGAGCGUUGAGCGUCUGCCUUCGGCUCAGGGCGUGAUCCUGAGGCCCUGGAAUUGAGUCCCAUG